GGUCGACGACUACUGACACGCGACUCCACUAUGUUGCCCAGUCCACUCAUGGUGUCAAUAGUCCACAGUCUCCGUCCGGCUACUUCUCCCUCGAAUGAUGGCAGGGAUGGGUCGUUCUUACGAAAAGAUCAUCCACGACGUCCGACUCUAGACGCUCUUGGUCCCUGAACGGGCCCUGAACAUCAACCGGGUCUCAACAAUCUGGAGGAAGGCAAGCAGAUCUGGCCAGACACCGACGGAUAAAGAAACCCGCACCUCAGACGACAAGUUAACGAUAUGCUCCAAUCCGUGGCCACCCAAGAUCAAUCAAAUCCAUCUUACCAGACCACAUUCGUCACUCGUUUCAGACGGUUUGAGCGAAUGGCAGGCAGGCAGUUCCAUCCGCGACCCCAUCCGUCCAUUGAUCGAUCUAUCCAUUCGUCCAUGCGUCCAUGCGUCUAUUCUCGGCGGCCAGCAUCAUGGUCAGGAAAUCCAUGAUCCAAGAAUUUCGCCGCAUGAACACAUGUUCGGACACUUUGCCUCUUUGCGUCUCGUCUCACAACCCGCCGCCUGUCCAGACCGGCGAGUGAGUGAGUGAGUAAGUGAAUGAGUGAGUGAGUGCACGACUCGUCGUCGACCAAAACUGACAGACACACAACCGGUCUCCACCAAAGUAUCCGGUUCGCGGUCGAAUAGGCUUGUCGACGUGUAUCGAUCUCAUUGCCGGGCGGGUGGUGGGUUUCACAUUGUUCGAAAUGCUACCUACCUACCUACCUAGGCAGACUGUCAGGUACGGACCAGUUGCCUGUCGGGGAGAGAUCAGUGAGCGAGUGGUCUAUGGUCUGCCACCGACCACCGACUGAGUCAAAUCUGUCGGAUUCAUUAUGCUCGUCUAAUCUUGAUAGGCAGGAUGUCCGGUGAUGGUGGGUUUUCUUUCAAUCAGCGUUGAGGAAAUGCAGUGCUGCCGGUGCUGGAUAAUUGUGGGUAGAGUGGUAUGUAGGUAGGUAUGUAGUCUAUGGGCCGGCCCUCUCUACCCCGAUCGAUGCCUUUGAUAUUACAAUUUCUCAAGUAUCCAGCCCGGACCCGAACCAUCAAUCGGAGCAAGUGGAAAGUAGUGUACUGCAAAGUGGUUAUCUCCCGAUUGGAUCACUC